UAUUUGUAAUGCAAAUAUUGAGGUGUCUCAUCGGUCUGCUGAUCUGAUAUUCUCUUCUGUUAUGAAAAUUAACUUUACUUUUUGUAAGCAGGGGAAAUUCCUGACUUUAAACAAAUAACCAUUUCAAUGUUUAGGACGUACAGAAAGAUGUCAUAUUAGGUAAUGCGUUCUCUGUAAAAUCUGAUGAUUUCCUGUUAAUGAAGAGGAAUAAGCAUUCCAGUCAUUAAUAUAGAUCAGUGGACACAGAACAACUCCGGCUGAAUCAACUGAGAUCCACGUGACACACGAUUAUAAAGAUGGUGUUUAUUAAAGAGGAGAGUGAAGACAUGAAGAUUGAAGAAUCAUUCAGAGUCAAACAUGAAGAUACUGAGGAACAAACAGACCUGAUGCAGCUAAAAGAGGAGAGUCAAGAGACUAAAAGGAAAUUGAUGAGUG